rnacentral:misc_RNA from 1 species
UUCUUCACAAAUCGAUCAAGUUCGUCAACACUGUACUCGACCGUAGUAAGAUGGUCACACUAACACUCCCGUAAAAACACUUUUAUCAGCACGAGCGACGUUAAAGCGACACCCUCGUUUUCGCGCCGAGGCGCGCGUUUGACGUGUAUCACGAACACGAGACGACAACAGAUACGUCUUACCGGUCUGAACUCGCGCUCGCGACUACCCAGAACGUCGACCGUAGUGACCACAGCGCCACGCGUGGAAGCCGACCGAAACGCACGAAAACGAAAUUUCGUCCCGUUCGUGUCGCGUUUUUCAACGAUAAACCGAUUGGAAUGGAGAUUUAUGUUCAAUUUCACGUAUUACAUUUUUUUUUUUUUUUUUACAAACUUAUCCACUAUGUCUAAUGCUUCAAAUAUAUGCGAGCUUGACAGCCGAAUCGAUGGGAAAAGAAUAAGUGAUAUAAUACAUUUAACGAACACAUGUCUUUGUCUCCGAGCAAUCGUCGUUAAUCUUUCUGGUUCUGUUUUCUUAUUUUAGAAGAAAAAAAAAAGUAAAAGAAAGGAAAAGGAAUAGACCGCUAGCGAUUUUUAUUUUAAACAUCGAUUAAUACCACGUAACCAAAUAUAAGGCAAAAGAAAAUGUAAUAAAUCCACCUGCGAUACGUCUCUUGUUGUUCUCGUUUCAAAUUAUUUCGCAUAAUGUUCUUUGUAAAAAUACGAGACGUUUAUCAUCAUUCAUCUUCCCCUCUCUAACUUCCUCCCUUUCUCUCACUCUUUUUCGCCCAUCGUUUCUUUCCUCUAUGGUCUUUUUUGCCCCAAAGUGUAAUCGAUUGUGUCUCUUAUUUACACAGUGCUAAACAAUUUAUUAUAAUUAUAGCCGGGUACUCUCUCUCUCUCUCUUUCUCACACACUCUCUCUCUUUCUCUCUCAUUCACUCUCAUACUCUGUCCUCCUUUAUCUUUCAUACACAUGUACAAAAUCCAAAACCGGGAGAACAGCUACGAUCGACGACGAACACCGCGUCUUUUGAGACAUUUUCUUUUUUGAAACGAACAAGGUGUGCUUCGUAGCUAUUCUUCAGGCCGAGUCACUCUUGCGUCCAAUACUAAUGGAUAUCUAAUUAUCUUAUGUAAAACUUUACAAGAUCCGCUAAAAUAUACAUUUACUGUGUAAUGUGUAGAAUCGCGCGGGUAAAAGUUACUAUCGCUAGCGCGAAGAAAAACUCGACAUAAAAAAGAAAAGAAAAGAAAUGGGAUUAGAAGAGGAUAGGUCAAACGAGGAGGGCUAUGAAUGAAUGAAUUUCUUUCCCAUGA